GGGAGCAGGGCUCUCUCCCUGCGUGUUGCAGUGAGGUGUGGCAGGCAGGCUCGCUCUUCAGAGCAGAGCUUCUCUCUGUGAAUCAAGAGCACCUUCUGUUGGCAACUAAGUCUCAUGAGCCUUAAAAAUAAAGGUACAGUGCAGCAUAGAAGCAAACUUCAAGGAGACAGAGCACAAAGAAUAAGACUAUAAGAAAGUCUAAGGAAGAACCUCCACCCUUGGAAUGUUACAUCAUUAUGGAAGACAUAAGCUCAAAGAUUUGAGACUUGGGAUCUGGAGUCUGUUACAUUGGGUUCAUUGGAGACACAGUUCUUAGGACACAGUUCCAGCACUAGGCAAGAGUUCAUCUUGAUCCAAUUAGGUAACUGGAAGAAAGAAAGAAUACCCCUUGUUACACCAGGAAGGAGGAAGAGUUUUGCCUAGAAUCCACUGGUCAGAGUGUGAUACGUGGGCGCACAUAUGUGAACAGCCCUCAGGGAGCCGAAGAGGAUUAUAGAGCUGGAGGGAACAGCCAUACUGUUCUCCAAAUGCAGUGUUAUUCCUAGAACCAUCAUGUCCACUUAGUGAUCAAGCAAAUGAAAUUAAUAAGAGAAUGAAAAUGAAGAGGAGCUGAAGCUGCUCCGUGGGGGACAGAGCUCAAGAGGAGGAGGAGCUGUGGGUGAGGAAGGAGGCCUUGAGGUCUGAGGCGGCAGUGAGCACUCUCACGUUGAAUCCAAGGGUUAAUUUGGCAUAAUAAAAUCAGCACGAACACUGCCAAAGAGGCCUGAGCAGACCCUCAAGUAAGUAAUUAAUUCUGGCUGCUUUCCACUCUCUUGCUUUCAUCAUUCUUAAUGUUAUCUAAUUGUAAAAUUAUUCUUCAAACCUUGAUGGCAUAAAGGAAGAAAAUGCCAGAGCCAGCCUGUCUUUCUUGAGGGCACGGGUGCCUCCUGCAUGUUGGUGGAAGUGCCGAAGACACCACUAAUUAAGGGAGUGUGAACACUUGAAAACUUUUGAUCUACUUUCAUAAAAUAGCCUGAAGAGUUCUAGAAAAGCUCUUCCUGCAUGCGCUGAGCUACCAUCUGAUGGAAAGCACAGAGGGGAAGUCUCCCCAACUUCUGUGACUCUCGCAGUGACCUUGAGGGAAUCUGCUAUGGGGAUAUACAGAAAAGACAAGUAUGUAAGGAAGAGACAGAAGUCUCUGGCCUGGCCUCUGGCCAUCACUGCUAUUGGGGUGAUGGGGGA